rnacentral:rRNA from 1 species
ACGGAAGGCAGCAGUGAGGAAUAUUGGUCAAUGGGCGAGAGUCUGAACCAGCCAAGUCGCGUGAAGGAAGACGGCCCUAUGGGUUGUAAACUUCUUUUGUACGGGAAUAAAGUCAGACACGCGUGUCUGUUUGCAUGUACCGUAUGAAUAAGGAUCGGCUAACUCCGUGCCAGCAGCCGCGGUAAUACGGAGGAUCCGAGUGUUAUCCGGAUUUAUUGGGUUUAAAGGGUGCGUAGGCGGGGGAUCAAGUCAGUGGUGAAAUGGUGCGACUCAACCGUAGCAUUGCCGUUGAAACUGGUUCUCUUGAGUGCGAAUGAGGCAGGCGGAAUGUGUUGUGUAGCGGUGAAAUGCUCAGAUAUGACACAGAACACCGAUUGCGAAGGCAGCUUGCUGGGACGCAACUGACGCUGAGGCACGAAAGCGUGGGGAUCAAACAGGAUUAGAUACCCUGGUA